rnacentral:rRNA from 2 species
UUGGAGGGCAAGUCUGGUGCCAGCAGCCGCGGUAAUUCCAGCUCCAAUAGCGUAUAUUAAAGUUGUUGCAGUUAAAAAGCUCSUARUUGAAUUUCGGGGUUCCACCGUUGGUCGGGCUAAUGUUUGUACUGGCGUGUGGAAUUUCUACCUUCUGGGGAACUAUCAUGUUAUUAAUUUAGCGUGGUAGGAAACCAGGACCUUUACCUUGAAAAAA